rnacentral:rRNA from 1 species
GAUGAACGCUAGCGGCAGGCCUAAUACAUGCAAGUCGAACGGUGUCUUCGGACAUAGUGGCGCACGGGUGCGUAACACGUAUGCAACCUACCUUACAUUGGGGGAUAGCCUUUCGAAAGGGAGAUCAAUACCGCAUAAGACAGUAGCUGGGCAUCCAGCAGCUGUUAAAGAUUUAUCGAUGUAAGCUGGGCAUGCGUCCAAUUAGCUAGUUGGUGAGGUAACGGCUCACCAAGGCAAUGAUUGGUAGGGGAACUGAGAGGUCAAUCCCCCACACUGGCACUGAGAUACGGGCCAGACUCCUACGGGAGGCAGCAGUAGGGAAUAUUGGGCAAUGGACGCAAGUCUGACCCAGCCAUGCCGCGUGCAGGAUGAAGGCGUUAUGCGUUGUAAACUGCUUUUAUACAGGAAGAAGCGACUCUUGCGAGAGGCAUUGACGGUACUGUAUGAAUAAGCACCGGCUAACUCCGUGCCAGCAGCCGCCGUAACAC